rnacentral:tRNA from 1 species
GGGCGAGUGGCGGAAUGGUAUACGCACAGGACUUAAAAUCCUGGGCCCGAAAGGGAUUGAGAGUUCGAGUCUCUCCUCGCCCA